GCCUGUAGCUCAGAUGGCUAGAGCGUUCGACUGAUAAUCGAAAGGUCGGAGGUUCAAUUCCUCCUAGGCCC
rnacentral:tRNA from 1 species